CACCUCAGGAGGGGACACCAUAGAGUUCACACCCCCACGCGGUGCAGACAAGCCCGCCGCCGGGCCCGGCCUCUCUGCCCUCGCUCCUCACUUCCGGCGGCGCCGCUUCACCCCGCGCAUGCGCCGUGCGCCUCUCUCUCUCCGCGGCGGCGCCGGGCAGGAAGAUGGCUAAGCGCACCAAGAAGGUGGGGAUUGUGGGUAAAUACGGUACCCGGUACGGGGCGUCCCUGAGGAAGAUGGUGAAGAAGAUUGAAAUUAGCCAGCACGCCAAGUAUACCUGCUCCUUCUGUGGCAAGACCAAAAUGAAGAGGAAGGCUGUUGGUAUCUGGCACUGUGGAUCCUGCAUGAAGACAGUUGCUGGUGGUGCCUGGACUUACAACACCACCUCUGCAGUGACAGUCAAAUCGGCAAUCAGAAGGCUGAAAGAACUGAAGGACCAGUAGAUGCUACAUCCUGCUCUCCUUCUGAAACGUGCUUGUUUUCUCCGCUGUCAAGAUCUGUCCCUUUAAUAAUAAAAAGUUCAGUGCUGUAGCUUCCCUGACUAAAGGAGAAUCAUGCAUUUCCAUACCCAGUGCUGCAAUGGAGGUGACAAUGGGUGACUCCCCCUCAGAGCAAAUGGCUUCUUUGUGUACAUGUGAGAUGAACGCCGUUGUAAUCCUGCUACAAGAUACACGAGAAGAAUGGCAAAGGAACCCUGCGGGUUUAAGAAAGCUCAGGUGAACUCGCUGCUGCUGCUGCUUUUCUGCGCAACGUGUCUGCAGCAGCUUUCUCUGGGUCAGUUGAGUCAGACUGAUUGCCCUGGGUGCUGCUGCUGCUGGUCCUGGUCUGUGCUAACCAGCUCCUAGGGAUGCCGCCUCCAAGCUCGAAUUUUCUUUUCAUGUGAGCUGUCUCCGUUCCCAUGGGGGUGGCUUGCACGCUGCCGUGCCUCGUAGCAUUGGGGGAGAGCAAGCGAGGGCAACGUGGUUUAACUUGCAUCAAAAUAAAGACGCUUUCCGUUUUGCUUAA